rnacentral:rRNA from 1 species
GAUGAACGCUGGCGGCGUGCCUAAUACAUGCAAGUCGAGCGAACGGACGAGAAGCUUGCUUCUCUGAUGUUAGCGGCGGACGGGUGAGUAACACGUGGAUAACCUACCUAUAAGACUGGGAUAACUUCGGGAAACCGUAGCUAAUACCGGAUAAUAUUUUGAACCGCAUGGUUCAAAAGUGAAAGACGGUCUUGCUGUCACUUAUAGAUGGAUCCGCGCUGCAUUAGCUAGUUGGUAAGGUAACGGCUUACCAAGGCAACGAUGCAUAGCCGACCUGAGAGGGUGAUCGGCCACACUGGAGCUGAGACACGGUCCAGACUCCUACGGGAGGCAGCAGUAGGGAAUCUUCCGCAAUGGGCGAAAGCCUGACGGAGCAACGCCGCGUGAGUGAUGAAGGUCUUCGGAUCGUAAAACUCUGUUAUUAGGGAAGAACAUAUGUGUAAGUAACUGUGCACAUCUUGACGGUACCUAAUCAGAAAGCCACGGCUAACUACGU